AGAAUCAACGCUGGCGGCGUGCCUAACACAUGCAAGUCGAACGAGAAAAUGGAGCAAUCCAUUAGUAAAGUGGCGCACGGGUGAGUAACACGUGACUAACCUACCCUUGAGUGGGGGAUAACCUAGGGAAACCUGGGCUAAUACCGCAUAAUACCUUCGGGUCAAAGGAGCAAUUCGCUUAAGGAGGGGGUCGCGGCCGAUUAGUUAGUUGGCGGGGUAAUGGCCCACCAAGACGAUGAUCGGUAU
rnacentral:rRNA from 1 species